GGCAGUGAGGGCUGAGGGGCGCUGCAGCAGCCCGCCCGGCGCAGGGCUGGCCCUGGCCUGGCUCCGCAGCCGCGGCGGGUCCUGCCCGGCCCGUGCCGCUGGAGGGCAGUGAUCGCAUGCCCGGAGAGGAGAGCACACCGCCCAAAACACACCGCCCACAGACUGCUUAGAUCGCCUUGACGGAGUAAGAAAUCCCAAAUUCACAGGGUGAUAACUACAGAAAAUGCUGCAUUCUCUCUGGGUUGUGUGAGAAGCCUCUUUGGCAUGAGCUUGUGAGAGCUGCUGUGGGCAGCAGAAGGUUGCCCAGUUGUUUGCCUAACUUCCAGCUGCAGAUGCUGUACACCUGCAAAAGGCAAUUGCACCUUCAGCUGAGUUCCAGCCAUACAAACUCCAGUCGUACCCACUCAGUCAUGAGCUAAUUGAGCAGCUGGAGCAGGAGCACCCAACACAGUAGCAGAGCAUGGAAGAGGGGAAGAGGCUGCUCUAACUGGCAGGUUCUCCCAACCAUGUGUCCUUCUGGCAGCUAUGUGGGUGUGAUGGGGAUUGAAG